rfam:Homo sapiens chromosome 17, GRCh38 reference primary assembly.
GCUGGGUGUGGUGGCGGGCACCUGUAAUCCCAGCUACUCAGGAGGCUGAGGCAGGAGAAUUGCUUGAACCCAGGAGGCGGAGGUUGCAGUGAGCUGAGAUUGCGACACUGCACUCCAGCCUGGGUGACACAGCAAGGCUCUGUCUCAA